UAACAACUUUCAGCAGUGGAUGUCUAGGCUCGCACAUCGAUGAAGAACGCUGCGAACUGCGAUACGUAAUGCGAAUUGCAGGAUUCAGUGAGUCAUCGAACUUUUGAACGCAUAUUGCACUUUCGGGUUACGCCUGGAAGUAUGUCUGUAUCAGUGUCCGUA
rnacentral:rRNA from 1 species